rnacentral:rRNA from 1 species
UACGAAGGGGGCUAGCGUUGCUCGGAAUUACUGGGCGUAAAGCGCACGUAGGCGGCUUUCUAAGUCGGGGGUGAAAUCCUGGAGCUCAACUCCAGAACUGCCUUCGAUACUGGAAAGCUCGAGUCCGGGAGAGGUGAGUGGAACUGCGAGUGUAGAGGUGAAAUGCGCAGAUAUCAGGAGGAACACCGGUGGCGAAGGCGGUGGUCUGGGCCGGCACUGACGCUGAGGAGCGAAAGCGUGGGUAGCAAACAGG